UAACCCUCGCUGCGCCCUCCCUCUCCCCAGCGAGGGGCGGGGCCCCCUGCUCCCGGUGCGGCUGUCAACCGGGGCGGACUGUCCUCAGUGUUCCCCAACCGCGUCGCGGCACCAGGGCGGGGAUCGGCUCACGUAAAAGGCGUCAGGGGUCUGCAGCGAUGUCGGCAACCCACCCGACCCGAGAUCAGAAGAG